ACUUUGACAGAGUGAUGGUGAGAUCUCAUGUCAUUAGUGUAGAUGGAGAACAGAAGAGGAGAUAACACACAGCCUUGUGGCGCUCCAGUGUUGAGGGUCAGAGGGCAUGAUGUUGUAUUGUUAACCUUGACUGAUUAAAUUCUAUUCCUCAGGAAGUCCAGUAUCCAGUGACACAGAGCUGAGUUGAUGUUCAUGGCUUGUAACUUAGAGAAAAGGAUGAGUGGAUCAAUGGUGUUAAAGGCAGAGCUAAAGUCAAUGAACAUCAUGCGUGUUGCUUGACUCCAGGUGUUGCAGUAUAGAGUGAACUCCUAGGUUGAUUGCAUCUUCCACAGAUCUGUUAGACUGGUAAGCAAACUGGUAGGGAUCCAUCAGCGGUGAUGCUGUGGUUUGCAGAUGGCAGAGUAUCACACGUUCAAACACCUUCAUAGCCACUGAAGUGAGGGCAACAGGCCUGAAGUCGUAAAGCCCAGUUGUUUUUGUUGUCUUCGGGACCAGAAUGAUGGUAGAGGCUUUAAAACACUGUGGAACUACACACUGCUGCAGAGAGGUGUUGAAAAUGUCAGUGAAGACAGGUGCCAGUUGAUCUGCACAGUUUCUUAAAACAGCUGGGGAAAGCUGAUCUGGUCCUGCU